AUCUCUGGAUUACCUUCCUUCUGUCAGACUGCGAAAAGAACUUAGAUUAUCAGUGAACGUGCACAGCACCCAGAACGCGUGAAACGUGUACUGUAGAAAGAACUGCCAACACGUACGUGACACUAACUGUAUGGACCAGGCACUGUGAUGAAGAAACAGAGGCAGAAGGAGGCAUAAAACUUGUCCGGAGGGACAGAAGCAAUGGAUAGCAGCGCUGCGGUCAAGACUACGCCAUCGGCUUCCGUGGCCACGCACGCCCUCACAGUGCGCACGCGCCCCUCUGCUGCGUCCCUCCUCCAAAGGAAUUCGCAGGAAAGGAGACAUUCCAGCCACCAGGUCAGCGUUCUGGGCUCAGGGCCCACCCCCUACCGGAUGCGCUUCCGCUUCCGGGCUCUCCAAGCAGGCAACCGGAAGACAGGCAAGUGGAAGA